GACGUAGGGUGCGAGCGUUGUCCGGGUUUAUUGGGCGUAAAGAGCUCGUAGGCGGCUUGUCGCGUCGACUGUGAAAUCCCGCGGCUCAACUGCGGGUCUGCAGUCGAUACGGGCAGGCUAGAGUUCGGUAGGGGAGACUGGAAUUCCUGGUGUAGCGGUGAAAUGCGCAGAUAUCAGGAGGAACACCGAUGGCGAAGGCAGGUCUCUGGGCCGAUACUGACGCUGAGGAGCGAAAGCGUGGGGAGCGAACAGG
rnacentral:rRNA from 1 species